rnacentral:rRNA from 1 species
AUUGAACACUGGCGGCAGGCUUAACACAUGCAAGUCGAGCGGUAGCACAGGGGAGCUUGCUCCCUGGGUGACGAGCGGCGGACGGGUGAGUAAUGUCUGGGAAACUGCCUGAUGGAGGGGGAUAACUACUGGAAACGGUAGCUAAUACCGCAUAACGUCGCAAGACCAAAGAGGGGGACCUUCGGGCCUCUUGCCAUCAGAUGUGCCCAGAUGGGAUUAGCUAGUAGGUGGGGUAAUGGCUCACCUAGGCGACGAUCCCUAGCUGGUCUGAGAGGAUGACCAGCCACACUGGAACUGAGACACGGUCCAGACUCCUACGGGAGGCAGCAGUGGGGAAUAUUGCACAAUGGGCGCAAGCCUGAUGCAGCCAUGCCGCGUGUGUGAAGAAGGCCUUCGGGUUGUAAAGCACUUUCAGCGAGGAGGAAGGUGGUGAGCUUAAUACGUUCAUCAAUUGACGUUACUCGCAGAAGAAGCACCGGCUAACUCCGUG